GAUGAACGCUGGCGGCGUGCCUAAUACAUGCAAGUCGAGCGAACGGACGAGAAGCUUGCUUCUCUGAUGUUAGCGGCGGACGGGUGAGUAACACGUGGAUAACCUACCUAUAAGACUGGGAUAACUUCGGGAAACCGGAGCUAAUACCGGAUAAUAUUUUGAACCGCAUGGUUCAAAAGUGAAAGACGGUCUUGCUGUCACUUAUAGAUGGAUCCGCGCUGCAUUAGCUAGUUGGUAAGGUAACGGCUUACCAAGGCAACGAUGCAUAGCCGACCUGAGAGGGUGAUCGGCCACACUGGAACUGAGACACGGUCCAGACUCCUACGGGAGGCAGCAGUAGGGAAUCUUCCGCAAUGGGCGAAAGCCUGACGGAGCAACGCCGCGCGAGUGAUGAAGGUCUUCGGAUCGUAAAACUCUGUUAUUAGGGAAGAACAUAUGUGUAAGUAACUGUGCACAUCUUGACGGUACCUAAUCAGAAAGCCACGGCUAACUACGU
rnacentral:rRNA from 1 species